GAAGGUAGAGAAUAUAAAGGAGAAAGAAUUUUGACACGUAUAUGCAGCCUUGAACUAUCGAGAAAAAGAAAGAAAGAAAAUGUUUACGGUGUCUUUAUCUCAGUGCUAAUGGAAAUUAAAUGUCGAGACGGUAUUUCCCUUGCAAAUACGAAGAUUAGUCUAUACUUGUCAAGGACGAAUACUGAAAACCACUCAUGCAAUUAUGGACAUUCUAUUUGGAAAAAAGGAAAAAAAAAGCGAAAGCAUAAAACGAACGUCCUCCGAGGAGUAAUUUAUUUUGACAUAUUCGGUAUACGCAACAACGACCUCGUUCUAUAUACUUUUAAGGAAGUUUUUAUCGACGAGUGUCCUUUGCAUUAAAUUAUGUUCACGGUGAAAAAGAAAAAUUGCUAGAACAAAAAUAGAACGUCAAAGAUAUCUUUAUACUUUUGUAAUCGUUGUUAAAUCUUCAAGGAUCUUGAUUAUUCCAAGUAGAAGAAAAUGAAAAUGUAAUGUAAGGAACGACAGAGUUCGUGAUUCGCACGAAAGAUUCUUCUCCGCGUCUGGAAGAGAAACGUCGACGGCAUAAAGAAUCGAUUCUUCGGAGUCCAGCGACCCUUUAGCUUCAUCCGCAAAUCGAAAACGUCGUUGACCAUUGAAUGCGUCGUCUGGGAUGCAUCUGUAUAUGCAUUGUAUCUGUGUAUAUUGAUGACAUCUACAGGGUGUUCUCGUUCAACAUCUCACAAAGUGUUGUAAUAAAUUAAUACAUUGUUUCUUUUUUCAUGUACAAAUUGUAGGAUAACAUUUGAGUCAUUUAUUUUGUUGAUACAAUAAUGAAGAAAAAGAGAAAGAGAUAAAUUAAGGAUAAAGAUUAUAUCUUGUGAAAUUUACAAGUCGUGUUAACUUCAAGGUUUCUCGAGAUCUUGAACGAAGUCGAGAUGAGCGUAGGUCGUCGCCGAAGAAACGAAAUAAAAAUUCCAUAAGUUUAUAGAGAAGAAGAAGCCGGUGAGGGGGAAGUAAAGUAGGAGGAGUAGGCGCCGCUGGGUAAUCGACCGAUCGAGUUUGACCGGAGUUGAUCGUUGGACGACCUUGGAAAAUAUCGUCUCUCUCGAAGGUUCAUUUAAAAACUACAACAUCAAUCGGUUGGUACCGACCAUUGAUUUGACUAGACUAAGUUGGAAAGUUUCGAAAGGAACUACCAUGGACACAUUAACAUUAUUAUGGUACAGUUAUGUCACCGGUUAAACGAAUAAAAUAUCAGCAAGAGGAUGUGAAUAUUGCAUAAACUUCUGUCUAUCGCGUCCGGAAAUACAAACUGAUAUAAAUCCUGUUAGUCUAUAUUCAUUUCAAGAAUUUUUAUGUCAUCAUCUGAAUCCAAGAAGGAAAAAAACGGAUAGAUAAGGUUCUUUUUUAUUAUAAAAAUAUUACCUAUUGCAUAUGUGAUGUCUUUUUCAAGUCUUCCAAAUUCUUUUGUAAAUCAAUAAUCAUAAACGAUUAACGAUAUGGAUCAAUGAUGGUUUAAAAGAAAAAAAAAAAAGGUAUCACACGUGUUGUUAGUGCAAUAUCUUCGCAUAAUUAUUGCGAGAAUAAUGAGAAGUCCCUUCGCCGGAAAGGAACGUCGUCGUCCAUACAUUCUGACCCGAUUCUCUAACAUUCUCCGAGGUACCAUUACACAAUUAGAGAUAACAACGGAUCGUGGGACCGAACGAAGUCGAAACGAUGCAGUUAGUUUCGAUCGUAAACGUCACACCGAUAUUUCACGAUCUCUCUUCUUAUUGUUACCUUUGUUUUUCACUCUCUACGAAUCAUGACGUUUAUCGCACCUAGAUCUACGAUCGAGAUAUUGUUUUUUCAUUUUUAUUUAAUGACAAAAGUAACGUUCAAAAUUCUUAGAAACUGCACUGUUUUUGUCCUACGAUUAAAUAUAAUAGAAAUAUGUGAUAACAUAUGCGACGUAGCAAUUAUUAAUCUUUGACCGGUGUUUAUAAAUGAAAAAUAUUUUUCCAAGUUGUUUUAUGCGUAAAUAUGUUUAUCUAUGCAUCGGUCGGUGAUUCGUUUCCUUUUUCUAACAUUUUCUAGCAUUUUCUAGCAUAAGAUUGGCGUUCUAAAGCAAGUGACACGUCACGAGCUUGCUCGACCCGUUUUGUGGAAUUUCGUUUAUUGCCAGAUGUCGCGGAGACAUAUAAUUCACAAGUUUAAAUGACAGAUAAUUGCUAUGUAUCUCUCUCAACUCUCUCAACGCUCUCAACUAAAGAAACAUAACAAAAGAAGUAACUGGCUCAACGUUAUAGUUUCCUCGAAAAAGUACUCUUUCGAAAUUUCAUUUGAAUUUCGCGGAAAAUUAUGACGUCGAGACAGACAAUAUUUUUAUUGGUCAAUAUAAAUAAUGAAUUUUAAUUGGUCGAAAUAAGUCAUGAAUUCUGAUUGGUUAAUAGAAAAAAAAUGAUAAUUUCGAUUAUUAUCGAUCGAUUUAAAUUGAAAAUCCAUUGCAACGCGAUUUAUCUUGCGUUUCUAGAUCGUAUUUUUAAUCGUUUAAUAAUAGUGUUGUUAAAAAAAUUGAUUGUGAAAUGUAAUUAGAAAAAAGGGAGAGAAAGAGAGAGAAAAAGGAGAAGAAUAUUAUGUACAUAGCUGGAGGGUUAAAUCCUGUUGCGUUGGUCGCACGAGCCACUCAAGAAUCUUACGUCUGGCGCCAAGCUUGAUCAUGGAAAAUGGUAGGAGAAGAUGGAGAAGGAAAAAACAAGAAAAAAGAAAUAAACGACGUCUCGAAAAAAAAAAGUAUACUCUCCUUCUCCCUUUCUCUUUUUCUCUUUCUUGUACAAGUUCAGUUUUCUUAUAAGACUUAACGAAGAAGAAGAAGAAGAAGAAGAAGAAGAUGAAGAUGAAAAGGAUUGCGUAUAACACUGUACGAGUAUAGCCCUAUACACUCCAUUAAUCAUUUUUUUGUUCUUUUCAAGAUAUGUCCGUUAAAAAUUCUCGUAAGAUCGAGGAAGCUGCUAAAGAAGAUGAUUACGUCAAUAGAACUUUAAAGAUUACUCGUUUCUUUCAGACAAAACGAUGACUCGUGUAAAUCCUUGUCUAUUCUCUCUGUGCUUCGUACACCUAACAUACUUGUACAUAUAAAUAUAUAUACAAAGUUAUAUUAUUAGAACAAAACGCACGUGUCUCACGUUCAUUUUCUUCUAAAAGGCACGACGAACGCAUUGCAAUACGUUGCCGUUGACGAACACGAUCGCUCUUGUGCAUAUGAAGAGCCAUUUAAACGACAAUGCGACGAUGAAGUACAAUUGCGUUCUCCCGUUCGAGAGGGGAACCCCUAUAGCAAUAUAUAUAAGCUUCAUAAUAACCAUUUUUCCUCUCUCAAUCUAAGCUCGAUUAUCUUUCGCGAGCAUAUUCGCUAUUUCGAUAGGAAAUCUUUGUCAAAUCUUUUUGAUAGAAAAAAUAUGUAAUAUUAAAUAGUUAGAUUUUAAAGAUAUCAAAUAAUGUUGUAAUAAGUAUUGUAACUUUUGCUUUAGCAAUGAAAAUCUUUAAUGAAUACUGUCGAAAUACUAACGGCAAAGGGAAGUAACGUUAUGUACGCUUUCCCUUCCGUGGUACCGCUUUUGUAUGAUCCUUGGAGAAAUCGUUCUGAUUUACAGUACUAAGGUCGACUUCUCACUAAAGAAUGAGAAGAAAAAAAGAAACAAAUAACUAUUGUUUUACUUAUUUUCAUGAAAUAUAUAACAUUAUAUAUACUAUAUAAAAUAUCGUUUAAACGACGAAGAAGUCUGUACGAGAGAUAUAAAUGUUUGAUAACGUAUGAUUCCGUUUUUAUACUUUGUAAAUAGAGUUAUCAAAGUGACACCUAAAUAAUUUCGAUAUUCUUGUGUACAUAAUUGAAAAUUUAUAAUUUGAUAUGAACGGAAUAUUCGACGGAAUUACCAAAAUUAGAAUUUGCUUAUGGCUUUGAAAAUAACGUUGGUAGGGAGAUAAUUAAUUAGUUUAAACGCGUGUGAACGAUGUACAAAACACACCGACAUACAUAGGUUGAGCGUACAGAAAGGGGGAUCGGUUAGUCUCGAAAGUAUUCUUCAAAAGGCACGAUCGGUGACGGUGUCCUGAGCUCGUCGAUACGCCACAAGGAUUUUCAGGCCAGUGAACAGUAUAAUGACGCGAGCACGAAACCGUAUGCUGCAUCAAAAAAAAGCAGAUUUAAAUAGCUAUCGUACGGACAGAUAUCUUAAACAACGCUAUAUGAUAAUUAUAAGCAAGCACAGUUUGAUUAAUAAUUACAUCAUCAAUGUAAUAAGAUAUUUGAAUCAUCCAGAUUAAAUUAUUCAAGAAGCAUAAAUCAUCGUGAUCGUGAUUAUCAUCUUAUCCACUGGUCAAUCUUAUUAUUAUAAAAUAGAAGAUAAAUAAGAAAAAAAAAAAAACAACAAAAAAACAUGCAACUAAUCGUAAAAAAAGGAGAAACGGAAGGGAUUGUAUUAUUGGUCGACAAGCUUCCGGUUUGAAGCCCUCUCUCUACGCGGAGACCAUUCUAAGCAUUUGCCUGGCCUCCUCCGUUACACCUACGCACGUAUAAAAAGGCUUCGUUUACAAAUCAAAGUAAACAGUAUCGUCAUUGGGAGAAGUUAAACAUUCAUUUACGAAGAAGCGUGUCAUGUAUACGAAUGUUAUUAUGUACGAGCUCUGCUUGCAAGACGUGGAAGAACGCACGCGUAGAAAAGGAAUUUCGUACACCUGGUCGCAUUAGAAGAUAUUCGAUAAACGUAUUUAGAUAAGAAGAUUUUAUUUACGAAGCAAGUGAUGUCGUCACAGAAAGAAAGUCAACGUUCCUUUAGGAAGAAGCCGUGGUGGCUCAUUUAGAAACAUUGUUUAUUAGCUUUCGAGACUUGGAAGAAGAAGAAGAA